rnacentral:rRNA from 1 species
UACGUAGGGUGCAAGCGUUGUCCGGAAUUAUUGGGCGUAAAGAGCUCGUAGGCGGUUUGUCGCGUCUGCUGUGAAAACUCGGGGCUUAACUCCGGGCCUGCAGUGGGUACGGGCAGACUAGAGUGCGGUAGGGGAGACUGGAAUUCCUGGUGUAGCGGUGAAAUGCGCAGAUAUCAGGAGGAACACCAAUUGCGAAGGCAGCUCGCUGGAACGUUACUGACGCUGAGACGCGAAAGCGUGGGGAGCAAACAGG